UUGGGUGGGUUUGGGUAGACAAAUAGGGGUUAGGUUGAAUUUGACGCCCCUAGUUAAAAGUGAUCAAAGUUUAAUACACAUUCAUUUAAAUCAAACCUUAAUCCAUUUUAUUAUGUAAAUGCCAAACUCCAUAUGUGACAAACACAUCAAAAUGUGGGUGGAAUGGCCUUUUAAUGACGUCCUCCUGUUGGAGUAUAUAAUCAUGAAGAUAUCGACUAUAAGGGAGUCUUUUCUGGUGGAGGUGGGGCUGCUUGAAAUUCUUGCCUCUUUUGUUGACUCUAAUGAAAAGUGAAAACUAUAUAUGUUGGCUUGCAAGUCUUGGAAUACCACUAAAAAGAAAUCCAUGCCGGAUGGUUCAUGCAAUCGAAGGAGGUAAGCUCAUCUCAUUCCAACCGAUUUGUCAUUGUUUUCAGAUUAAUUAGAGAAGCAUUUUUGGUCACAUCCUAUGUUACUAAAAUAUUUCUUCAUCAAUUCUACUAUUUCUAGAAUCUUUUACUAUUGCCCACAAUGGCAAGGAUCUUUUCCAUAUUCCAUAUCCGCCUAAAAAAAAUUUAGUUUACAUCAUUAGAUGAGAAAACUACCUCUCUGAGCUUUGGAAAUUGGUCCUCUUCAGAAUUUUGCAUCUUUCUUCCUUGCUCCAGAGAGCUCAAAAGGCUAAUUACAUCACUAAUCUUGUUAUCCUUGCCAUCCUCACUAGUAAGGGCUGUCCAACUGUCCUUAGUAUCAGAAAUUCUAAUUGUCCUAUGUUAAGAGAGUGGUGCCAGAGGCAAACGGUGAGAAAACUGUCCCAAGAUGGCUCAGGUGCCAGUUAUUACAAGCAUAUAUAGGACAAAUGGGGAUAAUCAUAGUAGACAACAAACAGCAAGUGCAAUCUGAUCCUGGAGCCUCCAAGCUCAACCUUCUCUGCUCAUGACCAUUGGCUGAUCACUCUCAAUAUGGCCCUCGUUUUAGAUGAAAUCUGGUGCUUGAGGAACCAUAUCAUUGCCAAAAGGCUCAGAUUGAUAUUCCUAAAUCAGUCCAUUCGGUGCAAGUUAAAUUCUUAAGAGUGCUCCAAGCUGCUAGGUGGUAACCUUCCCAAUCCCUCUAUCCUAAGUGCACCAACUUGGUCCCCUCUAACUUUAGGCUCGGUAAAGAUCAAUGUUGAUGCGGCUUAGUAGUAUCUACUAUCUAGUACUAACUCAGCUCUUGGGGUCAUUGCCAGGAACCACAUCGGCCAUGUAAUCAGAGCUUGGGGAAGAUGCCGCCCCUUAUGUUCUCCCGUCCAAGCUGAAGUAGCAGCCCUUCAAUGGGCAGUUGAGCUGGCAAGUCGUGAGCAUUGGCAGCAAUUGAUUUUUGAAGGAGAAGCUAAGGCUUGUUUUGAUGUGUUAUCAUCAUCCACUCCCCUAGAUUGGUCUAUUAGUACCAUUAUCAGCAAUAUUCAUUGUCUUUCUGUAGGUUUUACUUCUGUUAAGUUUUGUUAGGUUAUGAGACAACGCAAUUCUGCAGCUCAUGUGGUUGCUAGAUUUGCUUUAAAUUCUGGCCAGUCCUUUUUUUCAAUAAUGGUAAUCUUCAUCGA